GAUGAACGCUGGCGGCGUGCUUAAUACAUGCAAGUCGAGCGAAGCGCUUUAACGGAAUUCUUCGGAAGGAAGAUAAAGUGACUGAGCGGCGGACGGGUGAGUAACGCGUGGGUAACCUGCCUCAUACAGGGGGAUAACAGUUAGAAAUGGCUGCUAAUACCGCAUAAGCGCACAGGACCGCAUGGUCUGGUGCGAAAAACUCCGGUGGUAUGAGAUGGACCCGCGUUGGAUUAGGUAGUUGGUGGGGUAACGGCCUACCAAGCCGACGAUCCAUAGCCGGCCUGAGAGGGUGAACGGCCACAUUGGGACUGAGACACGGCCCAAACUCCUACGGGAGGCAGCAGUGGGGAAUAUUGCACAAUGGGGGAAACCCUGAUGCAGCGACGCCGCGUGAGCGAAGAAGUAUUUCGGUAUGUAAAGCUCUAUCAGCAGGGAAGAAAAUGACGGUACCUGACUAAGAAGCACCGGCUAAAUACGUGCCAGCAGCCGCGGUAAUACGUAUGGUGCAAGCGUUAUCCGGAUUUACUGGGUGUAAAGGGAGCGUAGACGGCUGUGUAAGUCUGAAGUGAAAGCCCGGGGCUCAACCCCGGGACUGCUUUGGAAACUAUGCAGCUAGAGUGUCGGAGAGGUAAGUGGAAUUCCCAGUGUAGCGGUGAAAUGCGUAGAUAUUGGGAGGAACACCAGUGGCGAAGGCGGCUUACUGGAC
rnacentral:rRNA from 1 species